GGAAAUGUAGUUCUGGACACGCCCCACGUGCCAGGACAAGGGGCCGGCGAGUCGGCUUAGCUCCUGAGUGUUCGCGGUUAUCAGCUGGUCUCGCCCUGCGCAGGGUCCGGCAGAUUCCGUUCAGUGGUUUACGCCGAAGCGACUAGGGGUGCAACGUACUCGUUAAAAGGUCCGAAGUAGUGGCUCAGCUGGUCGUGUGCGAAACCUUGCGUUUGAUCUCAGCAUCACGUAAACCUGGCUGGUGGCACACACCUGUAAACCCAGCACUCAGGAAGGGGAGGAAGGAGGAGGAUCAGAAGUUCAAGGCCACCCUUACCUAUGUAGGGAUAAUUAUAACGCUCACGUGGUCAGCAGCUCUGGAGGUGGAGCCCUUGGCACAAGCCUGAAACUGCCAUCACGCUGUGAUGCUGUCAUCACUGGCCCCUGCGUCGUGGAGGAUCCCGUUUCAGUGGGGAAAUCCUGCCCUAGGCGCCAGCAAAGGCUAGGCUACCCUCAACUUUGCUAUGUGGCCAAGGAUGGCCUCGAACUCCCCAACCUCUUACUGAUGGCUGGUAUUGUGGGAGUGCACCACCAUGCUUGAUGUAUGUGGUCCUGCGGAACAAGCCCUGGGCUCUGUGCACGAAAGGUAAGCAUUCUGUCAACGGAGUUAUUCCUCAGUCGAGCCUUAGCAUUCUUUCUGUCCUGAGUAGAUGUGAGAUGUCUGGAAGACAUCUUGUGACCACGAGGCCAAGUCUGAGAGACUCACAAUAGUACUGAUGUAACCAAGCCCAGAGGAUAUGUGGUGAUGCCUGAAGACAUCCUUUAG